rnacentral:pre_miRNA from 1 species
CAAGUACUCCCUCCGUCCGGAAUUACUUGUCAUCAAANAAAUGGAUGUGUCUAGAACUAAAAUACAUCUAGAUACAUCCAUUUCAAUGACAAGUAUUUUCGGACGGAGGGAGUACAAG